rnacentral:rRNA from 1 species
CGCGUUGGGAGCUCUCCCAUAUGGUCGACCUGCAGGCGGCCGCGAAUUCACUAGUGAUUCGUAUUACCGCGGCUGCUGGCACAGAGUUAGCCGGUGCUUAUUCUGUCGGUAACGUCAAAACAGCAAAGUAUUAAUUUACUGCCCUUCCUCCCAACUUAAAGUGCUUUACAAUCCGAAGACCUUCUUCACACACGCGGCAUGGCUGGAUCAGGCUUUCGCCCAUUGUCCAAUAUUCCCCACUGCUGCCUCCCGUAGGAGUCUGGACCGUGUCUCAGUUCCAGUGUGACUGAUCAUCCUCUCAGACCAGUUACGGAUCGUCGCCUUGGUGAGCCAUUACCCCACCAACUAGCUAAUCCGACCUAGGCUCAUCUGAUAGCGCAAGGCCCGAAGGUCCCCUGCUUUCUCCCGUAGGACGUAUGCGGUAUUAGCGUCCGUUUCCGAACGUUAUCCCCCACUACCAGGCAGAUUCCUAGGCAUUACUCACCCGUCCGCCGCUCUCAAGAGAAGCAAGCUUCUCUCUACCGCUCGACUUGCAUGUGUUAGGCCUGCCGCCAGCGUUCAAUCUGAGCCAUGAUCAAACUCUAAUCGAAUUCCCGCGGCCGCC